AACGAACGCUGGCGGCAGGCUUAACACAUGCAAGUCGAGCGCCCCGCAAGGGGAGCGGCAGACGGGUGAGUAACGCGUGGGAAUCUACCCAUCUCUACGGAAUAACGCAUGGAAACGUGUGCUAAUACCGUAUACGUCCUUCGGGAGAAAGAUUCAUCGGAGAUGGAUGAGCCCGCGUUGGAUUAGCUAGUUGGUGGGGUAAAGGCCUACCAAGGCGACGAUCCAUAGCUGGUCUGAGAGAAUGAUCAGCCACACUGGGACUGAGACACGGCCCAGACUCCUACGGGAGGCAGCAGUGGGGAAUAUUGGACAAUGGGCGCAAGCCUGAUCCAGCCAUGCCGCGUGAGUGAUGAAGGCCCUAGGGUUGUAAAGCUCUUUCACCGGUGAAGAUAAUGACGGUAACCGGAGAAGAAGCCCCGGCUAACUUCGUGCCAGCAGCCGCCGUAACAC
rnacentral:rRNA from 1 species